rnacentral:rRNA from 1 species
AUGACACGAUGGGGAUGCAAAUUGAGCAUACAAUUAUAUGGCACAUCAAUAGCAUUUUCAUUCAUGGGGAGCAUAUGGUGCACACAAAUAUUGGGAUCACGCAAUAAUGGGAUGGAUCAAAAUCUCCUAAAAUGCAUGAGGAAACUAUGGGGGUCUCCUCAUGAGCAAUAUCAGAAACAUCAAAUGGAGAAAAUGGACAACAUCCAAAACAAUGCAUAUCUGAAGCUAGGUGGUCAUGGAAUGGCAUAUGAGAUAAAUGAUGCAUAUCAAUAUCAUCAAAAGAAAAACAAAUGCCAAUAA